rnacentral:rRNA from 2 species
GACGAACCGUGCGAACGUUGUUCGGAUUCACUGGGCUUAAAGGGCGCGUAGGCGGAUGUCCAAGUCCGGGGUGAAAUCCUCCGGCUUAACCGGAGAACAGCCUUGGAUACUGGACGUCUCGAGGGAGGUAGGGGUCGAGGGAACUUCCGGUGGAGCGGUGAAAUGCGUAGAUAUCGGAAGGAACGCCGGUGGCGAAAGCGCUCGACUGGACCUCUUCUGACGCUGAGGCGCGAAAGCUAGGGGAGCGAACGGG